rnacentral:rRNA from 1 species
AGGGUUUGAUUCUGGCUCAGGACGAACGCUGGCGGUGCGCCUUAUGCAUGCAAGUCGAGCGAAGCUUUUCAGUAGUUUACUACAGAAAAUGACUGAGCGGCGAACGGGUGAGUAACGCGUGAGCAAUCUACCUUAGUUACAGGGAUAGCCCGAGGAAACUCGGAUUAAUACCUGAUAUUCUUUACAUUUCGCAUGAAAUUAAAAGGAAAGGUCAGCCGAACUAAGAUGAGCUCGCGUUCUAUCAGCUAGUUGGUAAGAUAAAAGCUUACCAAGGCUGCGACGGAUAGCUGGUCUGAGAGGACGAUCAGCCACACUGGGACUGAGACACGGCCCAGACUCCUACGGGAGGCUGCAGCAGGGAAUAUUGCGCAAUGAGCGAAAGCUUGACGCAGCGACACCGCGUGUGGGAUGACGGAUCUAGGUUUGUAAACCACUUUCAGGAGGGAAGAAAAUGACGGUACCUCCACAAGAAGCCCCGGCCAACUACGUGCCAGCAGCCGCGGUAAUAC